rnacentral:lncRNA from 1 species
AGUCUCAAUAAUAUAACGAUUUAAUGAUUUCAAAAGACAGACGCGAUUUUUCAAAUUCAAUAUGGCGGAUUUAUUGACACGUAUCAACAUGUUAAAGGUCACUACGUACAAUACUGGACAAGUUUAAACACGCAUUCAAUAUUGAUUUAAUAAUCAGAGAUAAAUAGCCGUAGGUGAAUAAAUAAUACCAGAGACCAUAUAAUACACAUAAUGAUCUGUAAAUACACACUAAGAUGGGGUUUUCCUGUGUAUCUAUUUAUAGACUGGGAAUUUUCAUCAAAUAUAAAGAAAAUAUAUAUAUAUAUAUACUUAUCCGUAAUAAAAACAAACGUAAUUAAUUAACACUAAAUAAUGACCUUAUCUAAAGUAAUUAAUUUAAUUAAUUAAUGUCAUAAUACUUAAAUUGACGUCAUUUAUUAGGGAGGUUAACUCUGGGAGGUUAACCUCACUCCCAUAGGGUUUGCAUUAGCAAAAGGUCGCCAGAAUGCCCACUUCCCCCACUACUGUCAAAGGUUAGCUGAACAUCUACCAAUCUGCUAUUAUAGUAAAUCAAUUGUCUUUUCUAUAGUGAUUUUGCUUCAUUUAGACGUUAUAAAGAGGACCAUGGUGGUUGUCAUGCAAAAAGAAUGAUCUGCUAACCCUCACAUAGCACAUGAGGUACGGCGCCCCCUUUUUAUGUGUUUCUCAUGUGUUUUCAGUUU